rnacentral:rRNA from 1 species
GGCCCAAGCGACUGUUUAACUGAAACACAGCUCUCUGCGAAGUCGCAAGACGAAGUAUAGGGGUUGACACUUGCCCGGUGCUGGAAGGUAUAGAGGAUCUGUUAAGAGCGAUCUGAAGCAGUGAUCCGAAGCCCCAGUGAACGGCGGCCGUAACUAUAACGGUCCUAAGGUAGCGAAAUUCCUUGUCAGGUAAGUUCUGACCCGCACGAAAGGUGUAACGAUUUGGGCGCUGUCUCGGCAGCAGACUCGGUGAAAUCUUAGUACCUGUGAAAAUGCAGGUUACCCGCAACUAGACGGAAAGACCCCAUGGAGCUUUACUGCAGCCUGAUAUUGAAUUCUGGUCAUACAUGUACAGGAUAGGUGGGAGACAAAGAGACGUGCACGCCAGUGUACGAGGAGUCGGCGUUGGGAUACCACUCUUGUGUGACCGGGGUUCUAACCUGGUAUCGAGAACAGGUACGGGGAGAGUGUCAGGUGGGCAGUUUGACUGGGGCGGUCGCCUCCCAAAGAGUAACGGAGGCGCCCAAAGGUACGCUCAGAUUGGAUGGAAACCAAUCGUCGAGUGCAAUUGCAGAAGCGUGCUUGACUGUGAGACAGACAAGUCGAACAGGGACGAAAGUCGGGAAUAGUGAUCCGGCGGUGCCGAAUGGAAGGGCCGUCGCUCAACGGAUAAAAGCUACCCUGGGGAUAACAGGCUGAUCUCGCCCAAGAGUUCACAUCGACGGCGAGGUUUGGCACCUCGAUGUCGGCUCAUCGCAUCCUGGAGCUGGAUUCGGUUCCAAGGGUUGGGCUGUCCGCCCAUUAAAGCGGUACGCGAGCUGGGUUCAGAACGUCGUGAGACAGUUCGGUCCCUAUCUGUUGUGGGCGAAGGAGAUCUGCGGAGAGCUGUCCUCAGUACGAGAGGACCGGGAUGGACCUACCGCUGGUGCACCGGUUGUUCCGCCAGGGGCAUAGCCGGGUAGCUAAGUAGGGAAAGGAUAAGCGCUGAAAGCAUCUAAGCACGAAGCCUACUCCAAGAUGAGAUCUCCCAUUCGCAAGAAGUAAGACCCCUUAAAGACGAUAAGGUAGAUAGGCCAGGGAUGGAAGUGCAGUGAUGUACGGAGUUGACUGGUACUAAUCGGUCGAGGACUUAA